GAUGGCUAUGUGCGCUUGUAAAAAUAGCAGAUCACUAGAGUUCUGUCAACAAGAUCUUUCAAAUAACCUUCUUCUGCAUUUUCCACUUUCUUUUCUUCAUUAGACAAGGUAAAUCCCUUUGCUGUCCAUGAUCUGAUUAAUUUCUUCACAGGGAUUUCAUGGUUUUGAGGAAAUGUUCCAAGAUAAAAGGAAGCAUAGUUUUAAAUAAUUGGGCAAGGGCAAAUUGUUACUCUGAUUUAGGUAUUUUUGUACUAAGUCUGUUAUGAGAAAAACCCAAUGGCCUGCUACUUCAGAUGCUACUCUAUGUGCUAGGUAAUUUGGAAAAGAUUAUUCCAUGACUUUCUCAACUCAAUAGGUAGCCUCUGUCAACUAUUCCAGAAUACAUUAAAAACAAAGGAAAAGUGAUCCUUUCUCUGUUUGCAGUUGAACUGCAAGUAUCAUAGAAGCCAUAAGCAGAACCUGUUAGAAAAAUAAUCCUGAUUGCACAUACAAAAUGUAUGUCAAUUUGGAGAAAUCUUCUGAAUAUCAGUUCACAUUGUCGAGCACGGAUCACAUCUCAUAGCCAGAAAAAUUGCAAACUUCUCUGAAUGGUUAGUGUGGUUGAUAUAUUUUUAAACCACCAGUUAUAAUAUAAAUAAUCUGAAAACAAAUUGGCCAAUUAUUCAGACAAGUUUAAUGUGUCUUAUUACAAUUGAUUUUUCCUGCUAUUUUAUAUGACACAAUUAUAUGUUUCAGUGAUUUCAUUUAUCAGCUCUAUAGUGCUUAUAUUUCCUUAAAAUUCUGCAGUUGAACACUCUGAUUCUUCUGUUUUUGUUUCUGGAUUCAGAAAGUUGGCUAAACUUCAGCAACUCGCGGCUACUAAUUGUAGUUUCUACUUUCCACUACAUGAGCUAGUGUAGCACACGUUGUCUAGCUAAGGCUUGCAGUUUAGAAGACUAAAAAACAGGAGAUAUGAAUAAGAUAACAUAUGUGAAUAAUUCAUUGACUUAUGAAUUCUUGUAAAGCAUGAAAGAACCUCAGAUUUUUUUAAGAUUCACUACUCUUUCACUUGCACUAGAUGGAGCCACAAUUCUUCUUCUAAGCAGUAGAGAAAGACAUCAUAUGAAUGAUCAGAACUGGAGCAGCCUGGAAAGAUGUUGCAUUAAAGGUAAUAUUCAGAAGAACAAACUAAGACCAAAGCUACUAGACAUAGCAUGCGUUUCUUUAGGAGUGUCGAUGAAUAUAGAUACAGUUGGCUCAUGACAUCACCAGAUCUUGACGCAUUGAGGAGAAUCCAGCAGAGCUGAUUGAGAAGCCAGAUAACAAGUGUACAGUUCUCUCUAAAGCUGGAUGGAAUUUCCUCCAGAGCUAGACAUCCAUUAAGCACCAAUUGCUCGAGGCAAGGGAAGCUGCUACUUGAGGCAAUCCACUGUUGAAGAUUUAUGUGUGAAAGUUUCAAGAACUUGAGACGACAAAAUUCCUUGUCGCUUCCUUCCCAUAGUGGUCCACUAAAGAAAUUGUCCUUUAUUUUCAGAAUCUCCAAGUUUGGUAGCAUUGCAAUGAUUGACAUUUCUUUCCAAUCUAAGUGACUACCUACCAGAGUCAGCUUCUUUACGUUAGGAGGAAAUUUACUUGGCUGAGGGAAGGCAGAAUUUUAUCACACCUAAAGUUUGAUACUCAAAUUUUAACCUCUUUAACGAAUUUAGACUAGAAAGAUCAGGGAACUCAAAAUCUUUGGCAUUGUUUGACAAAGUUAGAUGCAAUCCCAUCCUUAUAAGAUUUGGCAUUCUCGCCAAUAUGUUCUGGAAAGAACCACCUGAAGGACAUACUUGGGAAAUCGUUUGCAGAUUAUACAACAUCAAGGGACUUGAGGAGCUCAAACCAGAAUCUUCAAAUUCCAGCUCACUUGAGAUAUGCAAGUGCCUUAGUUUUACCAGUUUCCAAAUAUCUUGUUGCAAAGUCACACUUGCUUUUUCAGUACAAAGAAUGAAAGUUUCUAAGUUCCAAAAGUUUGACAGCAGGGAUAGAUAUCUGAGGCAAAAAAUCCGGAGUGCCAAGUACUUUAGGUGAACUAGCUGCAGUAUCUCCAUGGGGAAGUUUUCUAGGAUGAUGUACUCUAAAUCCAACACUCUGAGAAGCUUAUAUACAAGGGACUUUUGUUCAUCAAGAUAUAUACUUAAGUGGGUGGUAUUGACAUGAUUUGACUGGACAUGGUGGAAACUGUAAGAAUGGAAGCAUUCAGAAGUUGGCUCUUGCUUCUUGCGGCAAUGGAUCAAUUUAUUUUCUGCAGCACAUGCAAAAAAAUAGUUAUACAAGGUAGG